CUUUAUCUCUUUUAGGCAGCCUUCUCACUAUGUGAUGCCCUAGGCCACCUCAGGUCUCUGCAGAGUCCCUCACCAGGAUCACUCACUCUGGAGGAAGCCAGCCACCAUGUUGGCAGGACAUUCAAGCCACCUUAUGGAGAGAGCCACGUGGUGUGAAACUGAGGCCUUUUGCCAAUAUCUGGCACCAACAUACCAGCAAUGUCAAGGAACUAUAGGAAGAAAAUCCCCAGCCCUAGUCAAGCUUCUAUUGACUGAGUCCCUCACUGACAUCUGGACUAAAACCUCAUGAGAAAUCCUGAGGCAGAACCAUUCAGAUAAACCAUUCCUUAAUUCUUACCCACAGACACUGAAA